rnacentral:rRNA from 1 species
AUGGGUGUUGGUCAUAUCCUACCCAUUGAGGAACCCCUUGUGGCCGAAGGAGAAGGACAAUGUUCCACUCAUGUGGAACCAUCACCAACCCGAGACCCACACGCUUCCGAAGAACAAAGUGAAGGCCCUCAACCUCAUGAACAUGACCAAGGGCAAGAUCAACCUCAAGACGGUGUUGAGUCACCAAGUGAUGCCCAAGGUCAAGUUCUCUCCUCCGAGCAAGUUCAAGACCAAGAGCAAGCUCAAGGUCAAGAACAAGCUCAAGACGGCGCUCAAAAUGAUCAAGUGACCGCUCCUCAACUCACCUCCAAGGAGGAAUUGGAGCGUCGUGCCGCCAAGAUUGCAUCCAAGCUCUCUACCAAGGGUCAUCUCAUGAAGAAUGUGCUUGGAAGCAUUCAAAAGGGGGGUAAGCACUCGUAG